rnacentral:tRNA from 1 species
AGCAGGGUGGCGCAGCGGAAGCGCGCAGGGCUCAUAUUUCUGACACCCUGAGGUCACUAGAUCAAGACUAGUUCCUGCUA